GGAGAUUCAUGACCGUGAAAUUAUAUCAGAGUUACCGAAGAAAAACAAUUGCCGAAAAGAAAAAAGCGCUCAUUAAUUACCGUUUCGUAUCGAGCAUGUAUAUUUCAGUGGGACGAAGAAACACGAAUCUAUACUUCCGAUUCCAUUAGGAAACAUCGUCGACCUCCAACAAACAUCUACUAUCAACUAUUAUUUUUUUAUGUAACAGACCACAUUUCCUAAUAGAUGUGAACCACAACAACAACAAAAAAUAUGUAUUUAUUAUUAUUACUCCUAAUUAAAGGCAGACUAUUUAGUAUAUGAAAUCAUACGUUUUAAUUGGAUUAUGAAAAGAAAAAAAAACGAUUGGCAAUUUAACCUACACCCAGUAAAUAAACUGGAAUGCUGUUGCAAUUCGGCCCCGAAGAAUAAGAAAAAAAAAAAA